rnacentral:rRNA from 1 species
CCCUUAGAUGUCCGGGGCUGCAUGCGCGCUACACUGUAGAAAGCAGCGUGCUUUAAAACCUUUCCUGAAAAGGAUGGGUAACCCCAGCAAAAUUCUACGUGCUUGGGAUAGAGAUUUGCAAUUUUCUCUCUUGAACGAGGAAUUCCCAGUAAGUGCGAGUCAUCAGCUCGCGUUGAUUACGUCCCUGCCCUUUGUACACACCGCCCGUCGCUACUACCGAUUGGGAAAAUUUUAGAGAGUCCUGGACUGAUGAUUGUUCGGCUUCACGGCCUUACUUUCGUCGGGAAAGAAUUCGAUAAUAUUUUUCUAGAGGAAGUAAAAGUCGUAACA